rnacentral:tRNA from 4 species
GGACGCUUAGCUCAGUUGGUAGAGCAGCUGACUCUUAAUCAGCGGGUCGUAGGUUCGAACCCUACAGCGUCCACCA